CGUCUGUAGACUCUUAUUCUUGUUUAAAUUUGCUUCUCACAAGUCCCUGAACAUUAUGGAAGCAAGCAGUCCUUCAAGAAGAAUGAGAACUGACAGAACCAGUGGUUGACGGGUCAUCUCUUUUCCUCCUGGUUGGCAGUUUCCACAUCGACAUCCACCACACCUUGGCUCACAGGCUGCCCCAAUACUGUCCCACCUCCACCAUUCCAGGAACUCACGAUAUUUGUCAGGACAACCAGCUUGAAACCGGGACAAUCCCAGACAAACCUGGACGUCUGGUCAUCGUGCAAAGUGGUAUUACGAGACAGGAGGGC